UCUGGCUGCUGAUCAUGACCAGCUCCGUGAACUAAGCAGCUACUCACUGCUUGUGGACUGAAUGGAUUCGAGGCUGCUGAUUGGACCAAGCUUCCACACGGCGGACCCGAGCACCCGGGCUCCCUGGAACAUCAGCUCCUUCAGCCCGCACCGGGUCAUGGAUUUGUCCCCGGUCUCCACCGCCGGUUCUAUGAUUCCGAACCACCCAUUCCCCACAGUUGACGUUCCCGAUCAUGCUCACUACACUAUCGGCGUUGUAAUCCUGGCCGUCGGUAUCACGGGCAUUAUUGGGAACUUUCUGGUCAUCUACGCUUUCUGCAGAAGCAGGAGCUUAAGGACACCUUCCAACAUGUUUAUCAUUAACCUGGCAAUCACGGAUUUCUUCAUGUGUCUGACCCAGACACCCACGUUCUUCAUCAACAGCAUGCACAAACGCUGGAUCUUUGGAAAGAAAGGUUGUGAAGUUUACGCCUUCUGUGGAGCUCUGUUUGGUAUCUGCAGCAUGAUGACGCUGACGGUGAUUGCAGUGGAUCGCUACGUGGUCAUAACCAGGCCACUGGCCUCUCUGGGGGCCAUGUCUCGGAAGAAAGCCUUAAGCAUAGUGGCUGCAGCUUGGGUCUACUCGAUGGGCUGGAGCCUGCCGCCGUUCUUCGGCUGGAGUGCGUAUGUUCCUGAGGGGUUGAUGACGUCGUGUUCGUGGGACUACAUGACUUUCACACCGUCUGUGCGCUCUUACACCAUGUUGCUCUUCAUCUUUGUUUUCUUCAUUCCUCUGGCCAUCAUCAUAUUCUGCUACUGUUGCAUCUUCAGAGCCAUCCGAAACACCACACGAGCGGUAUCAAAGAUGAACUGUGAGAGAAGCAGAGACUCAGCCAAAAAGUUCCACAGGUUGAGAAGUGAGUGGAAGAUGGCCAAGAUAGCGCUCAUCGUCAUCCUUCUUUUUGUCAUCUCCUGGGCCCCUUACUCCUGUGCCGCCCUCACCGCUUUCGCCGGGUAUGCAGACCUCUUGACCCCGUAUAUGAACUCCGUCCCUGCAGUCAUUGCCAAAGCAUCUGCAAUCCACAACCCCAUCAUAUAUGCCAUUACACAUCCAAAAUACAGGGCAGCCAUCAGGAGGUACAUCCCAUAUCUGGCUGUGUUGCUGUGCAUUACCAGCAAAGAAUAUUUCAGCAGCAGCAGCUUCCAGUCCACCAGACGUUCCACCCUCACCAGCCAGUCUGAGAGCAACCGCCUGGGCAAGACACGCAGCUCGUCCCAGUCUGAAAGUGAAUCAGCUGGUUUCUCAGACACAGAGGAGGGCAAUGCCUUCCAAACACCUGUAAGUCAUCGGUUGUCUGGUGAUGUCAAACACACGCGGCGAUCCAGUCAGAGGUCAAAGGUGAUGGGUCAUGGUACGGAAGAAUUUGUGAGAACUGCAGCAUACAACUGCAUUGACCCUGCUAUAUAUCACCUGUCACACAAUCUGGUGAGUACAAAUACAAUUGAAUUUCAUGCAGGUGACCUUAGAUUCCACAAGUGUUAUGACACUGGCGUGACUCGGCAGUUACUGGAUUGAAGAUUGAUUGAAUCAGCAAAAGUUUAACACUGUCAUUACUGCAGUUGUCAGAUGUCCCUGAGAGGAGUUCCUCCUCCUGUCAGUGUUCUUUAUCUCUGCAAUCGUCGGCUACAAGAUAGAAAGUAGUGUCAGAGAAGAGAAAAUGGCUGCGACAUCAGCAAGCUCUUGUUCAGCCUAGUCGUUUUAAUACAUAAUUCCAGACACGGAGGAAGGAGCACCUUCCCAUUAUCUGAGCUCCGGCGCCAACUCUGCGACAUCUUAAAAGAAACUCUUCAAAUGAACUCACUGACUUCCGUGAUGUCCUCAACGAAUAUUGAUGGGACAGAAUCAGCAUCUCUUGCAUGUCUUGAUACUCUGAAGCCCUUCGGUGUCAAAAAACAAUGCUAAACAUCUCUGCAGAGAAAAGUUAGGAACAUUAGCAGCUGUUGAAUGGCUAGGUAUUCUAACAGAAAGCAUGAAAUGUAUGAGCCGCGCAACAACCUUGGAGUCAGCGGCCUCUUACCUCAAGGCUGCUAAAACGGUCACAAUCACACGAUGUUUCCUCAUCCACAGCACAAACGAAGUUUUUAGCAAAUAAAACUCAAACAAAACCUGAGCUCCGUCUGUGCCAGGUUAGAGAAAUCGAUUGUCGAUCGAAAACAAAAUAUAGCUUAUUUUAUUUUUUUUGUUUUGUUAUGCACAUCUUUGAACCAUUUUAUACCAUUUAAACAGUUUUAUGCCAAAUAUUGUUGUUCAUUAUUUGUAAAACAUUGCACUUGUCACAAAGGAACUUUAUACUCACUGACAAAAUGUGAACCACUCAAGAACAUCAAUAAUGCGCCACGUAAAAGAUGCAUUUCUAAAACCGCAAAGCAACUCAAGUCAGUCAUCAGUGUGCUGGCGACCUCGCUCUUUAGCUGGAGCGACAGACACGAAGAAAACCAAAGCAAGUCACAACAUAACUGUGACCACCAGUGGUUUGCUGCGACUCUGGUUCAUAAACAAAUCAAUAAAAACAAAACGUGCAUUUCCACUGAAUAAAAAAGAGAAACGUCACUCACUAACCCACACUGUCGACAUUGAGAAUAAUAGAAAGAGACGUUAAUAGUCAAGAAAGAGUCCAGAAAACACUAUUCCACACACUUCAUCAUGUGUAAAGAGGCAGCGAUCAUAAAGCAGAAAAAACAAAGAGGUGGAGAUAGGAAAGCCAGAGUGAAAUAAUGCAUAACUGGGUCACUUUUCACACAAAAGAGUCCGUCAUGGACUGGUCAUGUGGCCCCCACUCACCAUGGCGGUGGGAACAAAGCGAUGGGCUUGUUGUGUUUUGAUGGUCGUGCUAGCUAAGCAGCAACUGUCGGAAUAGAGGGCUGAAAGAAGCAAAUUAGUUAAAGCCAGAUAAAUGUGUUCAACCAGGACAAUUAGCUUCAUGAGAGAAUCAUUCCACAGGAGACAGGAAGGUAGUGCAGCAGAGACGCUCAGGUCUUGGUCAGUGACAUAAUCCAUACUAUACUAAGUCAGCUCCCUAACAAGCAAGGAAGUGAUCUGUAGUGGCAAAACCAGUCGCAGGAACUGUUAAAACAGCAGAUCAGAGUUGACACAUUUAAGGUGUGUUUGUUCUGUUCUUGAUACAAUCGUCCUGAUUUUGGUUCAGAAAAAUUCAACCUGACUUCUCUCAUUUGCCUUCAGACACAAUAGUGGUUAGGUCAUGUUGGUAUGGCGCCCAUUUACAGUUGUUGCUCAGCAGUUUAGCGCUCCAUUUUUUCUCUUGCUGAGGCUUAAGGAGUUGGAUGAACGCUACGGUGUAUCACUGCAGGUAGUUCGAUUCUCCGGCAUGCGGUCGACAAUCUGAAGUUCCCUUUUGUAAAGAGCUUUUAGGAUUAGGUUUGUUUGGAUCAGGUGGGCUCAGAAAUCCAACCACAACUAGGCUAACUACUCAUAAAACGCAUUUAUGAAUUUAUGAAACAUGAGAAAAGGUGUACUAGUAUAUAUUUUGUCUCAUGAACACCAUUCCAAAGCUAAACUUGAGGCUCUAACAUGUAUUUUCCACCCAUGUCUUUGCUUCCUUGACAAAGCCAAUGAAGUUACACAUUUGCCAAGUUUCCUGUGUCGAGGCCAUACAUUCUCCUGAGAGAGUUCAAUAAACAGAUUGAAAAUUAAUAGUCUUUACAAUCCUUAGUUUGGAUGUUUCAUUUCAAACUGGUUACGUCACACUCCACUAUUAUGGAUUUCUCUAUAAAGUUAACGCUCAGCCAAAAGCAAGACGAGUAGUUACUUUUGAAGGACAUUUAAAGCACUUCAUAUGCAGAAUAAGCAACACUUGGUGCCCACAGUGCUGACUGUCAGGCGACUUGGUUUAUUUGGGACAUGUAUGUAGAGCAUUUCCGUCUCUGUAUAAUCAUCUUAUUUCUCAGAAAAAAGGACACAUGUAUGCAUGUAUUUAACUGACUGAUGUAGGCGUGGUGCCAUGCAGGUCGGGUUGACUAGGGACUGCUUCACACAGGGUAAAAAAAAAAGUACUAAUCCACUAAUCUGUUAGUUUCAGACUUAAUCCUCAAUUUGCAUGAUGUGACCCCAGUUUCCACACACAGCAGUUGUUGCCAGACCAAGACGACAGAUUUUCUAGAAGUCUCUGACCUCCAUCUGCUUUCGUCACUCAGCAUUAUAUGGUGGAUAAUCUUUUAUCUGAAUCUGUAGUAUUUUUGUACUCGGCGGCGUUCCAAAGUUCUUUGGGUUGUUGUGUACUUCCACUGCUGCGCCGCAGGUCUACAAAUAAAAAGUUUGAAAAACGAAGAUAAACAGAAGACAACAUGAAGUAUUGAUGCAAUCUAUGUAAAAAGUGAGGCUGUCAGACUGACCUUGUUUAUGUUGUCCAGAGCCUGAACAAGCCUGAGGACAUCUCCAUGUUGGACAUCAAUCUCCAGGCCUCCACACACCUGCCUGCGGCUCUGGACAGUGCGCCGGAAGAGCCAGGACUCCAGCCAUUGAGCAAGCCCACAUCCUCCAGCCCUUCUGUUCUGCAUAGCUCACCUG